GCGCAGCGCGGAACCAUUGCUCGCGGAGCUGGCGCCGAGUCGGAACCUCGGACUGCGGGAAGUGGAAGCGCCGGGGUUUCGGGGAAGAGACCGGGGUUGAGCAUUUAUAGCCCAGCUUAGCGUGACUUCCGCCGGCGUUGAGCGCGUUUUCUGGGUCCGAGUUGAAGGGCAAAAACCAAGUGGAGGAAACUUCACUAAGUUCAGGGUGACAAGGGAGGAAGUGCAGAGACUGCACUUUAAAUUCUGGAUGACAGACCUAUCAGGACUGAGUGGACCUUUGAGUGACAAGAUGGGGGGUGUUCCAAAGAGACCAUGGCAGCCUGCAGCUAGGACUUUAUCUUUAAUGCAAGUGGUGAUGCUGUGAUAUCUAGUGCUUUAAACAAAUCUCUUUUUUUAAGUGACAGGGUUUCCAAAUUGUUAUAUCUACUUUGUUUAACAGAUCAAUAGGGACAAAAAGUUGAUUCACUUGGUCUAAUGUAGGAAUAGGUGAAAUACUGAUUGGGUCCUACACUCUACUUGCCAUCAGGCACCCAUUCUUAUGAAUAGAGAUUCCGUAGGGGCCACAGACAAUCCCAAUACUUUUUUCCCAGUUAAUUGAGAAAAUUAAAGCCAUCAUACAAUAUAUAACUUCCUCCCUCUCCACUUCUGUCAAUGCCACAUAUAGCCACCUGUCUUAUUUGUCUGUCUCAGAAAAUGUAACGUACUUCCUCCACUAAUGUAUGAACACUGUUUCUUGUUCUAGACCUCUUUUCUGCAUUUGGUGUCAUUGAUCAAACCCUCCUUGAAACUCCUUUUGCAUUUUUCCCAUCUUUUUCUACCUGUCUCAUGCUUCUUGGGGGUCUUUUUUUCCUCUGCCUACCCAUUAAAUAGUAUUUCCCAAAGUUCCAACCUUGAGUUGUUUUCUGUCUGUGUCUUCCCUGUGCGGACUAUCUACUCAUUGUUUUAACCUAUUUGCUCAUGGAUUCUAAAACUACUGCUAUUCCUAACCUCUUCCUUGAAGUUCAGACAUUUGGGAGGCUCAUGAGCCCUUCAAACUCUUUUUGUCCUUUGCUUUCAUUUGUACUCCCAAUUCUAUCUCAUCUCACUGCCUCCAGCUGUAACUACUACCACCCCCACCUACACCACCAAAUCCAUCUUGUAAGUAGCAGCCAGAAUGACCAGUCUCAAAUGUAAAUCUAUUUCACUUGCCUCCUUAAAUUUCUGAUCUCCCUCCACGGUCACCUUCAAGAUAGUCCACCUCCAUGGCCUGGUGUGCUAGGGUCUUCAUCAUCUUGCCACUCUUUUCCUUCCCAGUCUUGUUUCCCUUUCCAGUACCAUCUCCCAUCCUACCCACUUCGCAUUCAUGAGGCUGCUUUACACCUGAGACCUUUCACUUUCUUGUUGACUUUGUCUGGACUGUCUUUAUUUUCUUUGGCUGACUCUUCUUUAUCCUUACUAAUUUUUUAGGGUUCUUCUAAGAAGCCUUUCCUUAUUCCAUAGUCUGAGUUAGUUGACUUUUCUCUGCUUUCUUGACAUUCAUGGAUUCAUUCAGAAAAUAUUCAUUGAACCCUUAUUUUAUGCUAGAUACUAAGCUAGAUACUGGAAAUGUAAUAAUGAAAAAGCAAAUAUGGCAAUAACCAAUCUAAUAAUUUCCUGACAGAGUUUACGUUCUCAUAGGGAAAAAAAUAAAAAAAAUCAAAAAAAGGCAGUUCAGUCUUACUGGCUCCAUGCUUGAGAAUAGCUAGGAAUUGAAAGGGUAAAAGACAAGUGUUCUAGAUAGAGGCUAACAAUGUUUAUGAAGAAGAACACAGUCUAGGAACUGAGAGAUUCUAGACAGGGGUGGAGAGGCAAAUAGGGACCAGAUCAUGAAGAGCAUUAGUGAUGAUGUAACAAACUUUGGACUCCUUCUUAAGGCUAAUAGUACCUUUGAAUGGUAUCAACAUGAUUAGGUUAGUAUUUAAAUGAUGAAUCGCUACUCUGAGAAAAAGAACUCAAAGGGUGGCAAUACCAGCAAGAAGGAAACCAGUUAGGAGAUAAUUGUAGUAAACCAGGGAAAGAAAGAUGGCAGUUUAUACUGGGGCAUUGCCAGUGUGGGUAGAAAUAGAUCUCAGAAGAAUUUUAGGAAGUAGAAAUGGCAAAACUUGGUGACUGGCUGAAUUGUGAGGGCAGAAAUGGGAUAAAUCAAGGACAGAGUUUCAACAAGCUUUAGUGAAGACAGGGACUACCCCAUUUGCUGUCAUGUAUUCACAGCUUAGCACAAAUCUUUAUACGCUGGAGAUGCUUGAUAAGUACAAAUGAAAUUUUCUGGCUUGAGUACCCAGAUAAAUGGGAUGCCAGUCUCUGAUUUAGGUAACAUAGAGGCAGACUCAGUUGGGAGGUAACUGGUGAUUCAGUUUUGAACAUGUCUAGCUUAACAUGCCUGUGAAACAUACCAUGUCCAGAUACACGGCAAUUGGAUGAAUGAUUCUGAAACUCAAGAAGAGAGGUCUGAGAUGGAUUCUUUGCAUACUUAAAAAAAUAAAAGUUUAUGUUAUAUUGAAA